CAGAAGAAGGGCUGCCAAAAUUAAAUUAAUGUGAUCCUUCCAUCUCAGAGUGAUUGAUACUCUUGGUACUUGCCAACUGAAGGCGAGGUUUGACUCUGAAGAUGCAAUUCAGAUUGAUUUUAAAUGUUCUUCUUUGUUUUGCUGCAUGGAUGAACUUGGUCCAAGCAAGCGAUGGACCUGGAAAUGACUGUCCGUGUGUUUCGGUGUACGGUAGAAAUAUCCUUCAUACUAAGAUUAAGGACUACACCAUUCAGAAGGAACCUGUCUGUGACUUUAGUCUAGUUGUGUUUCGAACAGUGGCUGGAAGGAUCAUUUGUGCCGACCCCAACAGCAAGUGGGCAAAGCAUAUUAUCCAGAAGUUGGAGGCAAAGACAGCAAUUCAACACUUCAGCCAAUAACAAAAUGUCCAAACCAGUGGGACCACACCGGCAUCCACAAAGUUGCGGAGGACCAUCACAACAGCACACAAACCUGAAAAGGAGAGAACAUGAAGCAUGGCUAGAAGAGUAAUCAAAGAGUAAAACAAGAUGUAAUCAAAGUGUCUUUUACCAAUCAAUUCUACUCUAUUUAUUUGGAUAGUUAAUAUUUUAAAGCAUUAUUUUUUAAGCAUACUCAGAUCACAAGUCUCACUGAAUAAUGGGUACUCUUGCUACUCAGAGAUGCUUAUAUGAAAUCUUUGAUAAUCAGAAAACACUAAAAACAAUGUCACUUCAAAUUUUAUCUGAAAAUAAACAAAUAAUGUCGAGCACAAAACAUUUGUCACUUCAGUAUCUGAUAAAACCUCUUAUGCAAUUUCCACUUGGUGUCCAAGUGAUUGGGUUGCAAGUCAUUGCUUCAAUUAUGACAAAAAUUACAGUAAUCGGGGGAAACAAAACCAUAUAUGGCAAAUCUACAACAUAUCUUAAUAAAGUAUGGUAGAGCUGAUAAUGUAUUACUAUUAGCUAUUACUCU